UACGUAGGGUGCAAGCGUUAAUCGGAAUUACUGGGCGUAAAGCGCGCGCAGGCGGCUUUCUAAGUCCGUCGGUGAAAGACCGGGGCUCAACCCCGUGUCAGCCAUGGAUACUGGGUGACUAGAGGACCGGAGAGGAUAGUGGAAUUCCCAGUGAUAGUGGUGAAAUACGUAGAGAUUGGGAAGAACACCAGUGGCGAAGGCGGCUAUCUGGACGGUUUCUGACGCUAAGACGGCGAAAGCGUGGGGAGCAAACAGG
rnacentral:rRNA from 1 species